rnacentral:rRNA from 1 species
CUGAGAGACGGCCUACCACAUCCAAGGAAGGCAGCAGGCGCGUAAAUUACCCAAUCUUGAAACAAGGAGGUAGUGACAAUAAAUAACAAUGCCGGGCCUUUAUAGGUCUGGCAAUUGGAAUGAGAACAAUUUAAAUCCCUUAUCGAGGAUCAAUUGGAGGGCAAGUCUGGUGCCAGCAGCCGCGGUAAUUCCAGCUCCAAUAGCGUAUAUUAAAGUUGUUGCAGUUAAAAAGCUCGUAGUUGGACUUGUGCGGUCCUGCGAUGUCCAACUUGGUACGUUCGUGGGAGCGCAUCCUUGGGUGGAACCUGCGUGGCAUUAGGUUGUCGGGCAGGGGAUGCUCAUCGUUUACUGUGAAAAAAUUAGAGUGUUCAAAGCAGGCUUAAGCCGUUGAAUAUAUUAGCAUGGAAUAAUGAGAUAGGACCUUGGUACUAUUUUGUUGGUUUGCGCACCGAGGUAAUGAUUAACAGGGACAGUUGGGGGUAUUCGUAUUCCAUUGUCAGAGGUGAAAUUCUUGGAUUUUUGGAAUUCGAACUACUGCGAAAGCAUUACCAAGGAGG